rnacentral:SRP_RNA from 1 species
GCUGGGCAUGGUGGCGCCUGCCUGUAAUCCCAGCUACUUGGGAGGGUGUGGCAGGAGAAUUGCUUGAACCCAGAAGGUGGAGGUUGCGGUGAGCCGAGGUCGUGCCAUUGCACUCCAGCCUGGGUAACAACAGCAAAACUGCAUCUCAAAAAAAAAAAAAAAAAAGAGAAUGAGUUUCACUCUUGUUGCCCAGGCUGGAGUGCAAUGGCACUGCCUUGGCUCAUUGCAACCACUGCCUCCUGGGUUCAAGUGAUUCUUCUGCCUC